CUUAACACAUGCAAGUCGAACGUGAUUUUUGUGGAAAGCCCUUCGGGGACGGAAGCGAAAUGAAAGUGGCGAACGGGUGAGUAACACGUGAGCAACCUACCUUACACAGGGGGAUAGCCGUUGGAAACGACGAUUAAUACCGCAUGAGACCACAAAGCCACAUGGCUUAGGGGUAAAAGAUUUAUCGGUGUAAGAUGGGCUCGCGUCUGAUUAGCUAGUUGGAAGGGUAAAGGCCUACCAAGGCAACGAUCAGUAGCCGGUCUGAGAGGAUGAACGGCCACAUUGGAACUGAGACACGGUCCAAACUCCUACGGGAGGCAGCAGUGGGGAAUAUUGCACAAUGGGGGGAACCCUGAUGCAGCGACGCCGCGUGAGCGAAGAAGGUUUUCGAAUCGUAAAGCUCUGUCCUAUGAGAAGAUAAUGACGGUAUCAUAGGAGGAAGCCCCGGCUAAAUACGUGCCAGCAGCCGCGGUAAUACGUAUGGGGCGAGCGUUGUCCGGAAUUAUUGGGCGUAAAGGGUACGUAGGCGGCCUAUUAAGUCAGGUGUGAAAGCGUGAGGCUUAACCUCAUUAAGCACUUGAAACUGGAAGGCUUGAGUGAAGGAGAGGAAAGUGGAAUUCCUAGUGUAGCGGUGAAAUGCGUAGAUAUUAGGAGGAAUACCGGUGGCGAAGGCGACUUUCUGGACU
rnacentral:rRNA from 1 species